rnacentral:sRNA from 1 species
UCACAGUGACACUCGUCCAAGGCGGGAAUUCAGGCCGGUCAUACAAAAGUCCGAUACGUCCGCUACACCCGAGCAUUCAUUUUUCUACUGGCGGUGCCUGGUGCCCUGAAACAUGAAUACAGAGCACUAGAAAAAACAAGGGGUUCCGUGUUGCCAUUGGCACUCUGUUGCAUCCAACCCGCCGCCCAGCAAUGACUCAGGAUAAGAUGACUGUUCGGUUCUCAUUUUGACUCUCGCUUUGCGGUCAUGGCAGAGAGUACGAUGUUACUAACUACAUACAGACUAGCGCGUACUUGCACUUUCUCUUUUGAAGAACAUCUAUAAAAAGCUCCCAAUGCAAAAGGAGAGUGUCAGUCUGAUACCAGUAUAUAUUUAAAUUUUCAACCAACAGA